GUGGAGCUGAGGGUGGAAGGGGAGUGAGCUGACGCUCGGAAGGUGUCUUGAGAUUAUCAUCCGCUGAGGGUGGAAGCGGCCCCCGCAGACGCUCGGCAGGUGUCUUGAGAUUAUCAUCCGCUGAGGGUGGAAGGGGAGUGAGCACACACUCGGGAGGUGUCUUGAGAUUAUCAUCCGCUGAGGGUGGAAGGGGAGUGAGCAGACACUCGGGAGGUGUCUUGAGGCUCAGGGAGUUAUCAGUUAUAGAAUGUUGUUGAGUUGGAGGAGGUGGCUGGUGG
rnacentral:lncRNA from 1 species